GGGGCGCGGCGGCGGCGGCGGGAUUGGCUGGGGCGGGCGGGUGCGCAGUCCGCUGGGCAGAGGCUUGGGCCGCCGAGCUGGACCCGGACCGGUUUUGGGUACUGUACUGGGGGCAGGGCAGAGAGGUGGGCGGCAGUUGGGGUGCGGUGAUUGUAGUAGGCUAGGGCGCUUUCGGGUCCCCAUUGCAGCCCCCGGAUGAGCCCGCAGUAUUUUCCUUAUAUGAUCAGGUCCCAUUGCGGGCGGCGCCGCUUGCCCGGAGCCUGAGAGGAUUAUGAAAACGUGGCGAGCGAAAUGGGGCCAGGGGACCUGGAGCAGGGGCGUGAGGAGAGUAGGCAGCGGGUGAGGCUGGACGGGAGGGAGGUCUAGGGAGGCCUCUGCCGCGGGCACUGUGAGUCCUGGCCGAUGAUGACGAGACCACUGCGCAAUCUGAGUUCUGGGAACCAGGUGAUGGAGUAUGUUCUGAGAACAGACUGAGGCCGGGCAAGCAGGA
ensembl:lncRNA SNHG22 small nucleolar RNA host gene 22